rnacentral:rRNA from 1 species
UACGGAGGGGGCUAGCGUUGUUCGGAAUUACUGGGCGUAAAGCGCGCGUAGGCGGACCUGCAAGUCGGGGGUGAAAGCCCGAGGCUCAACCUCGGAACUGGCUUCGAUACUGCGGGUCUCGAGUCCGGGAGAGGUGAGUGGAAUUCCUAGUGUAGAGGUGAAAUUCGUAGAUAUUAGGAAGAACACCAGUGGCGAAGGCGGCUCACUGGCCCGGUACUGACGCUGAGGCGCGAAAGCGUGGGGAGCAAACAGG